CCCCCGGCCCGGAGCCGCACGAUGGCGGCGGCAGCGGGCGGGCGGCGGCGGCGGCGCCGCUGAGCGCCGGGAGAGCCCCGAGGGGCGGCGGGGGCUUCCCGCACCCCUUCCCCUUCCCUCAUAUCCCCCUCCCCUUUUCCCCGACCCCCCCGUCCCCCCGCUGCGCCGUCCAUGGUUACGGGCGGCCGCGGCGGCCUCGCAGCGGAGCUGUUUGGGCGGGAGCCGGUGAGGGAGCAGCGGCCGCAGGGCGCAUCGAGAAUAAUCAUCAGCCUUAACAAGGAUUGAUUGUGUGUGUGUUCCUCGUCCUUCUGGUUUGGUAUUAAUUGGAAAAGCUUUGGCUGUCACGUUGGGGAGGUGAAGAGGUGAAUGAACGUCCCUUUCAAGGGGGCAGCACUGGAAGAACCUUUAUGGGCUCCUGAUGACAUGCAGGURGACGAUUGACUGAUGAURAUUAAGGUAGGAAGAA